CCUACGGGUGGCAGCAGUGAGGAAUAUUGCACAAUGGCCGAAAGGCUGAUCCAGCAACGCCGCGUGAAGGAAGACGGCCCUCGGGUUGUUAAACCUCUUUUUUCGUGAAGCAUGGUGCAGGUCGGGACCUGCUAUGAGAGUACCUGAAGCAAAAGCAUCGGCUAACUCCGUGCCAGCAGCCGCGGUAAUACGGAGGAUGCGAGGGUUAGCCGGAUUUAUUGGGUUAAACGGGUGCGCAGGCGGAGGCAAAAGUCAUCGGUAAAAUCGCGGGGUUAAACCCCGCUCCGCCGUUGAAACUGUGUCCCUUGAGUGCGGGAAGGGUAGGCGGAAUGCGUGGUGUAGCGGUGAAAUGCAUAGAUAUCACGCAGAACACCGAUCGCGAAGGCAGCCUACCGGCGCGCAACUGACGCUCAGGCACGAAAGCGUGGGUAGCGAACAGGAUUAGAUACCCGAGUAGUC
rnacentral:rRNA from 1 species